rnacentral:rRNA from 1 species
GACGGAGGAUGCAAGUGUUAUCCGGAAUCACUGGGCGUAAAGCGUCUGUAGGUGGUCAAAUAAGUCAACUGUUAAAUCUUGAGGCUCAACCUCAAAAUCGCAGUCGAAACUAUUAGACUAGAGUAUAGUAGGGGUAAAGGGAAUUUCCAGUGGAGCGGUGAAAUGCGUAGAGAUUGGAAAGAACACCAAAGGCGAAAGCACUUUACUGGGCUAUCACUGACACUGAGAGACGAAAGCUAGGGUAGCAAAUGGG